rnacentral:rRNA from 1 species
UUCGUAGGCGGUGCGGCAAGUCGGAAGUGAAAUCCCUGGGCUCAACUCAGGGGCUGCUCCCGAAACUGCCGUGCUUGAGUGCGGGAGAGGCGAGUGGAAUUACAGGUGUAGCGGUGAAAUGCGUAGAUAUCUGUAGGAACACCCGUGGCGAAGGCGGCUCGCUGGACCGCAACUGACGCUGAGGAACGAAAGUGGGAGGGCAAAC